rnacentral:rRNA from 1 species
UCCGUAGGCGGUGUAGCAAGUCGAUAGUGAAAUCUCUGGGCUUAACUCAGAGGCUGCUAACGAAACUGCUAUGCUAGAGUGUGAGAGAGGCGAGUGGAAUUACGGGUGUAGCGGUGAAAUGCGUAGAUAUCCGUAGGAACAUCCGAGGCGAAGGCGACUCGCUGGAUCACAACUGACGCUGAGGGACGAAAGCUAGGGGAGCAAACAGGAUUAGAUACCCUGGUAGUCCUAGCCCUAAACCAUCAGGACUUGGGGUUUGCCCUGUACGGGGCAAGUCCCGUAGCUAACGCGUUAAGUCCUGCGCCUGGGGAGUACGGUCGCAAGGCUGAA